UGCAAUGUCCUACCUGCUAACUAGCUCUCC
rnacentral:piRNA from 1 species